AUACGGAGGAUCCGAGCGUUAUCCGGAUUUAUUGGGUUUAAAGGGAGCGUAGAUGGAUGUUUAAGUCAGUUGUGAAAGUUUGCGGCUCAACCGUAAAAUUGCAGUUGAUACUGGAUAUCUUGAGUGCAGUUGAGGCAGGCGGAAUUCGUGGUGUAGCGGUGAAAUGCUUAGAUAUCACGAAGAACUCCGAUUGCGAAGGCAGCCUGCUAAGCUGCAACUGACAUUGAGGCUCGAAAGUGUGGGUAUCAAACAGGAUUAGAUACCCUGGUAGUCCACACGGUAAACGAUGAAUACUCGCUGUUUGCGAUAUACGGCAAGCGGCCAAGCGAAAGCGUUAAGUAUUCCACCUGGGGAGUACGCCGGCAACGGUGAAACUCAAAUGAAUUGACGGGG
rnacentral:rRNA from 1 species